ensembl:lncRNA
UGUUCCCCACCCCUGUACUUUCUCACAACUAGCAUUAAUGUCAUUCAACUCCUCCUACUCUCCUUCUACCUGUUCACCUGCAUCUGUUCUUUUGUCAUUUUUAUCAAUGCGUGCUUCUUUUCCUCCCUCCCUUGUGUUCCUCUUUCCGUCGUUCUCAUUAACACCCCUGCCCUGAUAGAUGUAAGUGGCGUACUGCUCCUUGAGAGGCUCUCAUGGGUGUCCCGAGCAGCCCUGGCACCCUGUGUUCCUCUCCUUAGACCCGGGCCUGUGCCAUCUGCCUCUGUCACUGCCACCGCUGGGCACUGGGAGUCAGUGUGCAUGAGGCAGUCCUCUUCUUCUGCAAGAAAUCAACACACGCUGUGGCUGCUGCAGCUUUCAGCCGGCAAACAUAUUCCCGGAAAGAGCAAGAAGAAAUUACAACAAUGAGAAGGUUUGGAACCCUUUUUUAUGUGUUCAAAUAUUAUUUUAAGCAUAAAUAACAUUAAAGAACCCAUAAUAGUGUUUCAGUCAACUUAAGUUUUUAGUUGCAAGUAUAUAAAUA